CUGAAAAUGGAGAAGCCAGGGAGGAUAUAGAAUUUGUCAGGGUGUCUGCCCAGACGCGGGUGAACGUUGAUUGUAGACAACAGGUGCUGGAUCCCAGACAGAGGGGAACAGGGCUUGCUGCAAAUGGUCCUAGGAACGUGCCCUGCCUGGCCUCAGAUUCUCUGCUGCUAAGAGUCUGCAUCUGUGGUGACCGUCUCCCAUUUGGAAAAUUAACUGCUUACAGAUGUUGUAUGUGGCACAGCCUUCUCCCAGGCAGUGAAACCACUGGGGCUUGGAUUUCGUUUCAAAAGGAAGAGGAGGGAAGCAAAGCUGCGUGUCUCUGAUAUGCCUCUGACCAAUUUGGUGUCCUGUGGAGACAGAGCCCAGUGCUGAGACACAUGGCUUGCUGAGGG
rnacentral:lncRNA from 1 species